rnacentral:rRNA from 1 species
CAGCAGCCGCGGGAAUACGGAGGGAGCUAGCGUUGUUCGGAAUUACUGGGCGUAAAGCGCGCGUAGGCGGUUACUCAAGUCAGAGGUGAAAGCCCGGGGCUCAACCCCGGAACUGCCUUUGAGACUAGGUAACUAGAAUCUUGGAGAGGUCAGUGGAAUUCCGAGUGUAGAGGUGAAAUUCGUAGAUAUUCGGAAGAACACCAGUGGCGAAGGCGACUGACUGGACAAGUAUUGACGCUGAGGUGCGAAAGCGUGGGGAGCAAACAGGAUUAGAUACCCGCGUAGUCCCUGUCUCUUAUAC